UACGUAGGGUGCAAGCGUUGUCCGGAAUUAUUGGGCGUAAAGAGCUCGUAGGCGGUCCGUCACGUCGGCUGUGAAAACCUGGGGCUCAACCCCGGGCCUGCAGCCGAUACGGGCGGACUAGAAUUCGGUAGGGGAGACUGGAAUUCCUGGUGUAGCGGUGAAAUGCGCAGAUAUCAGGAGGAACACCGGUGGCGAAGGCGGGUCUCUGGGCCGAUAUUGACGCUGAGGAGCGAAAGCGUGGGGAGCGAACAGG
rnacentral:rRNA from 1 species